ensembl:snoRNA
UUUACAAAAGGAACCAAAAGAUGUAUGUAGACAGAAGGAAAGGGGCUCUUGCUCCCUCAGCAUCAUGUCUUCAGUGCUGGCAGCUUCCUAUCUGCGGGUUCUACCCUUCAGUGCCUGGACAAAG